AAGUGUAGAAAAUAAAUAAGACACAAAGCUAGUUAACGAGGUUCGGUUUUUCCCACUUCCCGGGACCAAGUCCAAAUUUUGAUUUCACUGGAACAAGAAAGCAAAUACAACCAAUUUGCAAACCUGUAAAUCAAGGACACUCCUCUUGAACUACUGCUCUGAACUACAAUAUGAAACAUUUAGGAUAAGUCUCUAUUCUUUACUAUCGGA
rnacentral:lncRNA from 1 species